rnacentral:rRNA from 1 species
AGCUCCAAUAGCGUAUAUUAAAGUUGUUGCAGUUAAAAAGCUCGUAGUUGGAUUUGUGGUUGUUGCGUGCGCCCCGGCACUUGAUUGUGUUGUGGGUUUUGCGUGCAACUCCAUCCUUGGGUGGAACCUGUGUGGCAUUCAGUUGUCGUGCAGGGGAUGCCCAUCGUUUACUGUGAAAAAAUUAGAGUGUUCAAAGCAGGCUUAUGCCGUUGAAUAUAUUAGCAUGGAAUAAUGAGAUAGGACCUUGGUACUAUUUUGUUGGUUUGCGCACCUUGGUAAUGAUUAAUAGGGGUAGUUGGGGGUAUUCGUAUUCCAUUGUCAGAGGUGAAAUUCUUGGAUUUUUGGAAGACGAACUAGUGCGAAAGCAUUUACCAAGGAUGUUUUCAUUAAUCAAGAACGA